GAACGCUGGCGGCAGGCCUAACACAUGCAAGUCGAGCGGUAACAGAAAGAAAGCUUGCUUUCUUUGCUGACGAGCGGCGGACGGGUGAGUAAUGCCUGGGAAUAUGCCUUAGUGUGGGGGAUAACUAUUGGAAACGAUAGCUAAUACCGCAUAACGUCUUCGGACCAAAGAGGGGGACCUUCGGGCCUCUCGCGCUAAGAUUAGCCCAGGUGGGAUUAGCUAGUUGGUGAGGUAAAGGCUCACCAAGGCAACGAUCCCUAGCUGGUCUGAGAGGAUGAUCAGCCACACUGGAACUGAGACACGGUCCAGACUCCUACGGGAGGCAGCAGUGGGAAUAUUGCACAAUGGGGGAAACCCUGAUGCAGCCAUGCCGCGUGUAUGAAGAAGGCCUUCGGGUUGUAAAGUACUUUCAGUCGUGAGGAAGGCAUUGUAGUUAAUAGCUGCAGUGCUUGACGUUAGCGACAGAAGAAGCACCGGCUAACUCCGUG
rnacentral:rRNA from 1 species